rnacentral:rRNA from 1 species
CCUACGGGUGGCAGCAGUGGGGAAUAUUGCACAAUGGGGGAAACCCUGAUGCAGCGACGCCGCGUGAGGGAAGAAGGAUUUCGGUAUGUAAAGCUCUAUCAGCAGGGAAGAAAAUGACGGUACCUGAGUAAGAAGCUCCGGCUAAAUACGUGCCAGCAGCCGCGGUAAUACGUAGGGAGGAAGCGUUAUCCGGAUUUACUGGGCGUAAAGGGGGCGUAGGCGGCCUGCCAAGGCCGAUGGGAAAUACGGGGGCUCAACCCCGGGGCUGCAUUUGAAACUGGCAGGCUGGAGUGCCGGAGAGGCAGGCGGAAUUCCUGGUGUAGCGGUGAAAUGCGUAGAUAUUAGGAGGAACACCAGUGGCGAAGGCGGCCUGCUGGACGGUUACUGACGCUGAGGCUCGAAAGCGUGGGGAGCAAACAGGAUUAGAUACCCUAGUAGUC